rnacentral:lncRNA from 1 species
UUUUCUGGAAGGGACAAAGUUUAAUUUCAUUAGCAAAGCAAAUACCAGUAGUAGCACAUCGGUACAUCAGUUAAAUAGUAUAAUUUCAUUAGGUAUAUAUUCUACUAGGAGAUGACUGACCUUCCCAUAAAAUGAGAGAGAUUAAUUAUUUAAUCUUUUCUAUACAGUUAAAUCCACGGCAAUUUAUGGAAAUUAUUACAAUUAUCUCUACAUAGAACAUAUAUAUUACAAAUUUUAAAAUUCUUGUUAAAACAUGAGGGAUGAUUACACGAGUGGAACUUAAUCUCAGCAAAUUUUAUUUCCGUUUUGGCAAGAGGAUUUCAGAAAUUCACUGUAGAGUAAUUAUUAUAGAGUAGCUUUAAAAGCAAAGCUUUUUCAUUUGGAUUUUAAGCAGUUUUGCAACGAUCUUUAUUUGAUAUUUAGAACAAUCCCAUGAAAUAGACACAAGAACACUCUGAAUCUGAGUUUCCGUUGAGAGCGUGUGAGAAGAAAAUGCCAAAUCCAAGACCAGAAACUGGGUGUUGUGACGCCUAUGCCUUUGGUUUGUGUAUCGAACAAGGUGUUCAAAUAAUAACAAAAUCUGGACAUGUCUCCAAAGAAGAGAUGCAGUUGGUAGAUAAGCAUAUGAAAACACACUUAAUAUCAUGUAAUUAGGGAACUGAUAAUUCGAAAAACGAGACCGCUACACACCCAUCAGGAUGGCUAAAAUCUAAAACAUUGGCAACAAUAAAUGCUGGCGAGGAUGUGGAGCAACAGGGAAUCACAUUCAUUGCAAGUGGGAAUGCAGAAUGUUAAUAUCACUUUGAAAGACAAUUUGGCGGUUCCUUACAAUGCUAAACAUAGCCUUGCCAUAUGAUCCAGCAAUCAUGCGGCUAGACAUUUAUCCAAAAUAACUGAAAUCCACAAAAACCUGCACACAAAUGUUUAUAGCAGCCUUAUUCAAAAUUGCCAAAACUUGGAAGCAGCCGAGAUGUUCUUUAGUUGGUAAAUGAACACACAAACGGGCGUAUCAGUACAGGGGCGUAGUAUUUAGUGAUGAAACGAGCCGUAAAGACCCACGGGGAACUUUUUUUUUUUUUGACCCACGGGGAACUUAAAAUGCCUGUUAACUGACAGGUGAAAAUUUGAAAAGACUGUAUACUUUAUGAUUUCAAUUAUGUGAUAUUUUGGAAAAGUCAACACCAUAGAGGCCAGGAAAAGAUAAAGGUCUCCAGGGACUUGAUGGUAAGGAGGAGGGUUGAGCUCGUGGGGCAUAGUGAAUGUUUAGGGCAGUGGAACUAUUCUGGGUGAUAUCAUGAUUGUGGACACAUGACACGACACAUUUGUCAACGCCAGCAAACUGUGCAGCACAGAGUAAACCUUAAUAUAAAUAUAGACAUCUGCUCAUUAUAAUGGAUCAGUAUUGGUUCAUCAGUUGUAACAAGAUAUUGCGAGGCAAGAUAUUAACAACAGGGUAACGGUGUGCCGAGGAAAAGGGUUUAUAAGAACUCUUUGUACUUUUUGCUCCAUUUUGUGUAAACUUAAAAAUACUCUAAAACAAUAAAGUACAUUAAUUAAAAUAAAAUACACACUGAUUUAAAUUCUUGUAUAAUGUGUUUGUCAUGUUCUACCAUUAUCUUGUAGGUCACUACCCUCAACUUAACUUAUACACUAUUUUAUGUGUGUAUAUAAAAUUUAACAUGAAGGGGUUCCUGGGUGGCUCAGUGAGUUAAGUGACUGCCCUGUGAUUUGGGCUCAGGUCACAAUUUAAUGGGUCAUGAGAUGGAGCUCCCUGGCAGGCUCUGUGCUCAGCGCAAAUUCUGCUUGAGAUUCUCUCUGCCUUUCCCCCUACUCAUGUGCUCUCUCUCUUUCUCUCUCUCUGUCUAAUAAAUAAAUCUAAAAAAAAUUUAAAUGUGAGACAGAACAAUGCAUUAAAAUAAAACCUAUAAAACAAAUCCUAAUCAUUUGAAAACUUAAUAGGUUUCUUCACCUAAGAUCUUUUUUUCUCACAGCUGCUCAGAGAAAAUGAAUCCUGCAAAGAAUGGCUUAAUGAAAUUGCAACUCUUUUUCCCGUUACUAAUGGACACGAUGAAAGCAUUCAGCAAAAUAAAUGAGCAUGUAAAAUAUCUUAUUUUCUUUCAUUCUUUUCACUCUAUUUUCCUAUCACAAAAGCUAUUUUUUUACCUUGUUUAUCUGACCAUUUAAAUGCUUUUCCCAUGGGGGGCCUGGGUGGCUCAGUCGGUUAAGCCUCUAACUGUUGAUUUCAGCUCAGGUCAUGACCUCAGGGUGGUGAGAUGGAGCGUGGUAUAGGGUGUGCGCUAGGAGCGGAGUCUGCUUAAGAUUUUCUUUCUCCCUUUCCCUCCCUACUUGUGCACGUGCUCUGUCUUUCUCUCUAAAUCAAUCGGUCAAUCAAGAGAGUUAAUUUUGGGGACAUCAAGGAGGUUCAGUUGGUUGAGUUAAUCAACUUGAUCUCAGUUCAGGUCAAGAUCUCAGGGUUGUGAGAUCAUGCCUCACGUCAGGCUCUGUGUGAGCAUGGAGACCAGUUAGGGUAUUAUCUCUCUAUCUCUCUGUCUCUCUGUCUCUCUGUCUCCCUCCCUCCCUACUGCUGGGGUGUGCAUUCUCCCUUUCUAAAUGAAUUAAUUAAUAAAAAUACUUUUCCCCAAAAUCUUGAACUUGGCCUUGAUGUUUAUUUCUAUACCCCCCUAACUCUUCCAUAUUAUGACAAUGGUUUUCUUACAUUUUAAUAAAACAUAUUGUGUAACUGUACCUAUGUGUCAGAUAUUUUGAUACCGAAUUUCAAAACAUUCAUAUUAUAUUUUGAUGUGAUAUAAUAGGGUUAUGAGUGCCCUUACAAGGAGUCUCACUAUAAUUAUCUACUUAAGACACUGUAUUUUUAUGGACUCAUUUUAUGUCAUUUAAGAUAAAAUUUGAAAUGUCUUAUUGAAAUUAUCUGAUGCUCAUCAUUAUUUGACCCAGAGGUUAGCGGUAAGCUUACACGAGCAGAGGAUAGCUAUGUGGUGUGUACAUGAUGGAUAAUGUUUUCACUCAAAAUCUCUUCUCAGCCCUUAAAGAGGGGACUUUUUAUCACUUCAGUUAUAGAGUUCUUAGACACAGUAGCUCUGUUCAGAAAAGGAAUCUGCAGCAGCCAGAACUCUGGCUGCGCUGAUGUAAUGUUCUCAAAAUGUGGUCCCCAGACUAGGGAUCAGCAGCCUCAGCAUCACCUGAGAACUUGCUAGAAAUGCAAAUUAUCGGCCCUUAUCCAGGAGCUACCGAGUCAGAAACCCUGGGGAGGGCGUUCAGAAUCUGUAUCCUCCGGGUGAUUCUGAUCCAGGCCAGCGUUUGGGAAUCAGUGCUCUGUAGCCUCGGGUACAGCGUUUAGACUCUCGGCUCUGAGGCAAAGUCAAAGAGUAAAUCAAAUUACUGGACAGAGUAGUAGCUCCUAGUUAAUACUGAAACACGGAUUAAAAUUAAGACGAAGACUCCACACAACAUAGUAUGCUUCAGAUGCACAUACUCCCCCCCCCUUUUUUUUUAAUGACUUAUGAUAAAGGUUAGAUCAUAGAAAUGAGAACUUUUCCCAACAGGGCUUGUGAUCCCGGAGCUAAUGGGGAUUGCCGGAGUUGAUAAAUGUCUGUGUCACAACAUAGAUCACAGACCAGUACCCCUAAAAUUUAGUGUCCUGAAAUCAAAUCAGUGAUAAUUAGGAUAUAAGUUUUCAAGACGCAAGGUCAUUUGCUAUAUAACACUCUUAUGGGGGGAGGAAGGUGAAGGGGUAACUUGUUUUCAAUUAGUUCAUCAUUACACCUGCACAUUAUCAUGAGAAGUCACGACUAUACUUUUCUUUCCUUUUCUAAAGAAAGUGAAGGAUCUUCCUUGAGAAAACGUCAAAGAAUGCACUGAAGUGAGCUGGUUCAUUGGGAGAAAAAUUAAUUUUUUGUCCAUGAGGCCAAUAGUUUAAACUCAGACCAGUCAUAUAUUGAAUGCAAACUAAUGCCGGCAGUGCUGUUUACGUGGAAGAGCUGAGUCGUGAAGGGAAAAUAUAGUUGAACGUCAAUGUGAAAUGGUUUAUCCUGGGGUUUUCUACCUAUCGCCCUGACAUUCAACAACAGUUUGAGGUUAAAUGUUACGGAUUUAUAAAACUUAUAAGAGCUCUAUGGAAAGUAGUAGUUGAUAGAAAUGGAAUGGAUUUCCCCUUAUCUCCAAAUUUCCCUUUAAAUUUAUUUCUGUCAACAGUUACAUUCUAAUGUUAUUUUCUCUUGUCUAGAAUAUAUAGCUUCAUCAAGAGGUCCUCAACUGCAUGUAUGAUACGAUUUUCACAGAAUUAUUUUUUUUAAUCAGUUCCUCGCCAUCAUGUAUUCCCCACAUCAAUGGCCCCACCAUCAAUUUAGGAACUUGAUGGAAUGUUGAAAUACCAAUUAUUAUUUUUCUUUCCUGCAUAACAUAGCUCUUUAAUCUUCAGUUGGGUACACAGUCAAGCGCUACAUUCCCAAACCACUGGUGUGACCACGUGACAAAGUGAUAGCCAAUUGUCACAUGCAGCUGUAAAGCCCUUUGCUUAAAGGGAAGGGCAAUGCCCUCCCUUUGCCCUCCUUGCCUUUGCCUUUGCUGAAGCACGUCUGCAGGGACAGGAGCCAGAGCAGUCACCCUGGGUUACAAGACGGGAGCCACGUGGUCAGUCCUGGAGAACACCCAGGUACAAGACCCGGGUCACGGACACCAUCAAGGCCUGCAUACACGCUGACUAUGGGGGAUGAGAGAAAUGAAUCAUUUCACUUAAGCUCUUAUUGUUUUGGGGGGUCUUUUAGAGAAUUUGAUGUUUACGCUCCCUGAUAUACUGGGGGGACCUACUGUACUUCACGUGUAUACACAGGUUUGUUUAUCGAAAGAGAGACAACACACCUGUUGAUAUAAGAUAAAAAUAAAGGGGAAAAGCAUUGUUAUAAUGUGUUUGCUUUUUCAAAUCCUUGCUUUAACUUUUUUGAUCCUGAAACUCAGUUAACAAUAAUUACUGAGCACAUUCUAGGCUCAAGAUACUCCUCAGGGCUGCAGGGAUGCAACGGAAAGCAAACCAGCCAAGGUUGCUGCUCUUAACUGGUCUUCCUGCUGCUAGGGAACUGAGAGAGCAAGCAUGUAUACAUACAUAACAUGGAUUGCACACAUAAUAAUAAGACUAAAUUGGUGCAAAAGUAUCUUAAUUUCUUUGAAAAUUAAGAAAAAUCCCAAACAAGGAUUAUUACAUCUCUUACUUAAAAUCAGUUAAAAAAAAAAAAAAAAA